rnacentral:lncRNA from 1 species
AUUCUAACAAAUUAAUGCACACCAAUACUAUCCCUUUAUAUCUUUUCUUCUAGUUUAUUAUUGACUAUUGCAAACCAUUUCACUAUAUUAUUUCACAUAUCAAACAACAAGACUUGACAAACUAUAGGUUAUAAAGCAAAGAUUUUUAACCACUAGGAUUCAAUAACAAAGUUGACACUACCAUGACCUUUGUGUAAAAUUACUGAAUGACACAAUAUAAAAAUGCAGAAAAAUCUAAGGGUCAGCUCCAGGAGGUCGAGUUGUAGGAGCAAACCAGAAAGAGAUCAUUCGAGGGGCAAUCUUGAAAUAUGAGCAAAUCUUGACGGCAGACAGAGUGGUGGUUGUUGUGAUAGUUGUGAACAUAACUGCCAUAGAAGAGGUAAAGGAAAAAGAUAAAAAUGUGAAGAAGUGGUGGUUUUUGUGAUAGUUGUGAACAUAACUGCCAUAGAAGAGGUAAAGGAAAAAGAUAAAAAUGUGAAGUUUUAAAAGAAAAUUAUGGGGAAGACAACAACUAGUAAGAAAAGAUCCACAUUUUCUUUCUAAUGGUCAGCAUCUCGAUGAAUAUUAGGUUGACCCUGUUGAGGAAACCGAUGAAUAUAACAAAAUUAACAAAUCAAAACCCCAGGUAAAAACAAACAAAGAUGCUGUACUUCGUUCGAAUUUGUGCGUCGUUGAAAAGGACAAAGUAGACAGAAGACUUUUUGAUGUUCUUGGUUUUUAGAUACAGAGGAUGCAAAAGUACUCUGCUCUGUGAUAAAAUUUGACUUUUCUCUGCCUAUGGCUUAUGGGGUUUUAAGGAGGAG